UCCGGAAACAGUCCAUCUCUCGUCCUUGACAGAGUAACCAAACCAAGCACCACGCGCGGCCAUGGCCUUCCCCGCCGACGCGCUGGUUCUAGAGAUCACCGACACAUCAUCCUCCGCCACCGCCGCCGCCGCCCGUGCUCCAUCCUCACCUUCUCCCCCGCCGCUGUCCAUCUCCGACCUCGCGCGCUUCGACCCGCUCCCAUCCCCAACCGUUGCCGUUCGCGUCGACCGGCACAGGCUAAUCGAGAGCUCCUCCUACUUCCGCGCGCUCCUCGGCGGCAGCUUCAGUGAAUCCGGCAGAGAGCAUGUGCGUGUGGGCUGCAAUUUGGAGGCUGCUGUGCAAGUGCUGCGCUACCUUUUUGAGCCUUCCGAGAGCUUUAACAUCACGCACAACAAUUUCCUCCCCCUGUUGGAGGGAGCUUUGUUUCUUGCUGUUGAGAGCCUUCUAGUGGAGUGUCAAAGAUGGUUCGGCACCAUAGCCUCUCAAACUUCUGCCAUGUCAGUUCCAUUAGAUUUCAUAAUUGAAGUCUGGUACUUUGCUGAAGAGCAUGGUGUUACUUUUGUUCAAGACAUUUGCCAAAAAUUUCUAGCUCAGAAUUUUGCACAUGCUAUCUCAGGAAGGUCAUUUAAUAAAAUACCUUAUGAUUUGCUAUGUUCAGCGAUCAAAUGUCCACAUCUGACAGUGGAUAGUGAAAAACAAUUGUGUGAAGCAAUUUUGUAUUGGGUUUCAGAAAAUAUGAAAGCCUGUGAACAAUCAAACCCCAACUCAGUAGAUGGCCACCUCUUCAUUCUUAGCAAGCAGGUGAAGAUAUGCCUUUUACCAUUAGGAUUUGCGGCAGGGACAAUGAGGCAUUGGUUUGACUUUGGAAACAAGAUCAUAUGCACUAUUCUUGAUCUUCUCAAAGACAGUUUGAAAACUUUAUUGGAUGCUGUUGAUGAUGGUAACUUGGAUCGAUAUUGCAUUCGAAUAACAGAAUAUUCAAAGAACAUAGUGCUUUCAGGAUGUCCCCAAGUAACUACAGCAUUCUUGUACAUAUCUGUUCUCCCUAAUGAUCUGAGUGUUUCAUUGAAGAGAAGGAUAGUGAGUUCAUACACCCAGGUUGAUCAUCAAACCUUCGUUCUUUAUGAGGAAUUAGAGAAGGCUACUAAAACCUUAUCAUUUAAGAAUGUACACAUGGUGGAUAUUUCAAAAUGUCCAAACGUUCAUUUUGGCGCAGCAAUUGACUGGUUGAAGUUGGGUUUUCCAGAAUUAAGGGUAUUCAGGGUUUCACAUUGUUUAUCAUUUCAAUUUGAUGAUUUACUAUAUCUGUUAAUGAGAUGUCCAUGGAUUGAUGAAAUUGAUAUGACUAUUGAUACAAGCACUGUAACACCCAGACAUUCAGUAAUCUCGUCUAGUUCUGAAGUCCUAAGCAAGGCAAAACCAAAUCAGAAAAGAUAUGGCAUACAUUGUUCAGCAUAUGACAGGCAACCAAAUUCGGUUUUCUUAAAUAUAUCAAGAUUGACAUUGGAAGGCAGAAAUGAUAUUGAUGAUAUGGACUUGUUGGAGAUAUCUGUCCUGAAAAAUUCUCUGUGCUAUAUAAACAUUAGAAACUGCUUCCUGUUGACGGAUGAUGGUAUUUCUAACCUUCUGAUGAAGUGUACAAAGAUCCAUUCGAUGGUUCUUUCUUAUACUUCUUUUGGAAAUCGAUCAAUUCAAAUGCUAUGCGCUGCCAAUCCUUCUGGCCACAACAGUGGACAUGCUCAUGUUAUGGCAUCUUAUAUGCAAGAAUUACAUCUGGAUGGCUGCAAAGGUAUUGACUCUGUUGCUUUGUCGCAGCUAGUGAGCAUUAUAAGUAUCACAAAGUUUUUGAGCUUAAGGGAAACAUCACUUACAGAUGGUGCACUCUGCAAGUUUGUUGGCUCUAGUCUGGAGUAUCUUGACGUUUCAGAGACUGUGAUUUCUAUGGUAUCAUUAGCACCAGUUAUUCAAAGAAACUGUAAAUUGAACUGUCUGAAAACAGCUGGAUGCUGUAGUCUUCUGUUGCAAUGUGCUAAUGUAGAACAUAUCAAUGGUAACAAGUAUGGAGAUUUUCUACAGGAGUUAGGAACUACCUACUGUCUGGAGGAUGUUGAAAUGGGCUGGGGAUUUUGCCCUAUUCGAAUCGAAGACCUUGUUCCUUCUUUUAGUAAAGUAAGGAAGAUGAAAAUUGGUCUCGGCACAUCAUUAGCGGAGAAUGUUCUGUGUGCUCUUCCUAUGAUUUGCCCAUUCCUCGAGUCUUUGAUUCUAAGGUUUCAGGUGAUAUCUGACAGAGUUGUUAGACGUCUAUUGGAAUCAGCAACAAAUCUUCAGGUGCUUUGCCUGCACUAUUGUCUUGGAAGUUUAACUUCAUUUAGUUUCCAAACAAAGGCACCUGCAUUAAGAGUAUUGCGGCUUCAUUGGGUAACUUCAUGGCUUACAAAUGAUGACUUGACAAUCCUUACAGAGAAUUGCAAUUUGGCUGAACUUUCACUUUCUGGUUGCAAACUUCUUGACUCCAGCUCUCAAGACAUUAUCUCAUCUGGGUGGCCAAACUUGGCACUUUUACACCUUGAGGAAUGUGGUAAAGUAACUGUUGAAGGGGUUUCUUCUUUUUUCAACUGUAAGGCUUUGGAAGACGUCCUACUACGGCACACGCUGAAACAAAAUUUCACCAUGCUGUUGCAAAAUUGCAGUCCAUCUGUGCAUGUCAUUUCCAGGACUUCUACCGGUGUAACUUUUCUCCGUUGAAAAAGUUGAAUUGUUGAUUCACUUGAUUGGUUAUAUAGUUUCUGAGAGUUGGGAACCGCAGGGUAGGGGCAUCGGAAGGAGCAUCAUAGACGAUGCUAUCAGAGAGUUACCACUACUGCGGAAGCUGGCUUUGGAUCUUUGCGAUGCCUGUGAAGACGGUUACGAUAGCCCAAACGAUGCGGAAGGGAAGAUGAUUAGAAGUGUAAGGAUGAGUCGAUGCAAGAAGAUGGCGGGGUCGUGUUUGGAGGUCCCCAGACAAGGGUCUUCAACUUCAAGGCCGGUGCACAAGGACACUGUAGUGCUGGAAUGGAGCAGCAGAAUGUUCACAACCACCAUAGUGAAAGAAAGAGUGUGAUGAGCCUCUUCUGUAGUUUUGUCCCUGAUGAAGAACACAAGAGCAGGCCACAAUAUAUAUGACUUGUAUGAAUGGUCUCCCCGCUUCUGAUUUUGAAUGCUUUGUAUGUGGACAUAUCCUCGUGUGUGAAUGUAUUUGUAUGGUAUCAAACGAAGAUCAUCUUUUGCAGUCGUACUGUACCCAUGCACUCUUAUGUUGAUCCACGAACAAAGUUUGGAAUUUUUA